rnacentral:rRNA from 1 species
AUUGAACGCUGGCGGCAUGCCUUACACAUGCAAGUCGAACGGUAACAGGUCUUCGGAUGCUGACGAGUGGCGAACGGGUGAGUAAUACAUCGGAACGUGCCCGAUCGUGUGGGAUAACGAGGCGAAAGCUUUGCUAAUACCGCAUACGAUCUACGGAUGAAAGCGGGGGAUCUUCGGACCUCGCGCGGACGGAGCGGCCGAUGGCAGAUUAGGUAGUUGGUGGGAUAAAAGCUUACCAAGCCGACGAUCUGUAGCUGGUCUGAGAGGAUGAUCAGCCACACUGGGACUGAGACACGGCCCAGACUCCUACGGGAGGCAGCAGUGGGGAAUUUUGGACAAUGGGCGAAAGCCUGAUCCAGCCAUGCCGCGUGCAGGAUGAAGGCCUUUGGGUUGUAAACUGCUUUUGCACGGAACGAAAAGCCUCUUUCUAAUAAAGAGGGGUCAUGACGGUACCGUAAGAAUAAGCACCGGCUAACUACGUG